rnacentral:rRNA from 1 species
UGCAGUCGAACGCGAAAGUCCUUCGGGAUGAGUAAAGUGGCGCACGGGUGAGUAAUACAUGGGAACAUGCCCUCGAAUGGGGAAUAACGUUUGGAAACGAACGCUAAUACCGCAUAGUCUCGCAAGAGUAAAGGUGGCGCCGCAAGGGCUACCGUUCAAGGAUUGGCCCAUGUCCCAUUAGCUAGUUGGCAGGGUAAUGGCCUACCAAGGCGACGAUGGGUAACUGGUCUGAGAGGAUGAUCAGUCACACUGGAACUGAGACACGGUCCAGACUCCUACGGGAGGCAGCAGUAGGGAAUAUUGCACAAUGGACGAAAGUCUGAUGCAGCAACGCCGCGUGAGUGAAGAAGGCCCUUGGGUCGUAAAGCUCUUUAGCGAGGGAAGAAGCUGAUUAUGGUGAACAAUCAUGAUGGGUGACGGUACCUCGAGAAUAAGCACCGGCUAAUUUCGUGCCAGCAGCCGCGGUAAUACGAAAGGUGCAAGCGUUACUCGGAAUCACUGGGCGUAAAGCGCGCGUAGGUGGACCUGUAGGUCGGUUGUGAAAUACCUGGGCUCAACCCAGGAGGGGCAGCCGAAACCACAGGUCUUGAAUACCUGAGAGGGUGGGGGAAUACCUGGUGGAGAAGUGAAAUUCGUAGAGAUCAGGUGGAACACCGGAGGCGAAGCGCCUGCCUGGCAGUGUAUUGACGCUGAAGUGCGAAGUGCGGGAGCAAACAGGAUUAGAUACCCUGUAGUCCGCACCGUAAACGAUGGAUACUA